rnacentral:rRNA from 1 species
UACGUAGGGGGCAAGCGUUGUCCGGAAUCAUUGGGCGUAAAGAGCGCGCAGGCGGUCGUUCAAGUCGCGUGUGAAAGCCCCCGGCUCAACUGGGGAGGGUCACUCGAUACUGAUCGACUUGAAGGCAGGAGAGGGAAGCGGAAUUCCCGGUGUAGUGGUGAAAUGCGUAGAUAUCGGGAGGAACACCAGUGGCGAAGGCGGCUUCCUGGCCUGUUCUUGACGCUGAGGCGCGAAAGCUAGGGGAGCAAACGGG